AUUGAAAACGGGGGGAACUCACUCUGAGUUGAGAAGGUAAAACCUGACCCUUUGAACCUGUCGGUUAACACCGGAGUAGGGAACGUGAAAUUGUUUGAUC
rnacentral:ncRNA from 2 species